rnacentral:rRNA from 1 species
GAUGAACGCUGGCGGCGUGCUUAACACAUGCAAGUCGAACGGUGAAGCAGGAGCUUGCUCUUGUGGAUCAGUGGCGAACGGGUGGGUAACACGUGAGCAACCUGCCCCUGACUCUGGGAUAAGCGCUGGAAACGGCGUCUAAUACUGGAUAUGUGAUGUGACCGCAUGGUCUGCAUCUGGAAAGAAUUUCGGUUGGGGAUGGGAUCGCGGCCUAUCAGCUUGUUGGUGAGGUAAUGGCUCACCAAGGCGUCGACGGGUAGCCGGCCUGAGAGGGUGAGCGGCCAAACUGGGACGGAGACACGGCCCAGACUCCUCCGGGAGGCAGCGGUGGGGAAUAUUGCACAAUGGGCGGAAGCCUGAUGCAGCAACGCCGCGUGAGGGAUGACGGCCUUCGGGUUGUAAACCUCUUUUAGCAGGGAAGAAGCGAAAGUGACGGUACCUGCAGAAAAAGCACCGGCUAACUACGUGCCAGCCGCCGCGGUAA